rnacentral:rRNA from 1 species
AUGAGGUUCCAAUGGUUAGUUUUGGAUUUUUUCAGGCAAGAAAGCAAAGAAGAAGGGAGGAUUCUCUAUUACCAACUUCCCCCAUUGUCCUGUCCUCAUUGGUCAUUCAUCUUUCCCGAUCUAGUGCCAUCGUUAUUCAAGGUGCCGGAGGGUUUGAAGCAUACCUACUACCCCUCCCCUGAUCUUAGUUUAGAGUUACCUCAGUGCGCUCGAGUAAUAACUAGGAAAAUCAAGGCCGGACAGGUCUUCGAGCCAGCUUUAGGAAGAAAUGCAAGUGAAAGAUCAUGCUCUCGAGGGCGCAGGAGUCUUUUUCUGUCUUUCUUAUUUGAAAUCCAAAUCGAAAUGCCUCAACUUGAUAAAUUGACUUAUUUCUCACAAUUCUUCUGGUUAUGUCUUCUCCUCUUUGUUGGAAGAUGA